CCUACGGGGGGCAGCAGUGGGGAAUAUUGGGCAAUGGGCGCAAGCCUGACCCAGCAACGCCGCGUGUAGGAAGAAGGCUUUCGGGUUGUAAACUUCUUUUCUCAGGGACGAAGCAAGUGACGGUACCUGAGGAAUAAGCCACGGCUAACUACGUGCCAGCAGCCGCGGUAAUACGUAGGUGGCAAGCGUUAUCCGGAUUUACUGGGUGUAAAGGGCGUGUAGGCGGGACUGCAAGUCAGAUGUGAAAACCAUGGGCUCAACCUAUGGCCUGCAUUUGAAACUGUAGUUCUUGAGUGCUGGAGAGGCAGACGGAAUUCCUGGUGUAGCGGUGAAAUGCGUAGAGAUUAGGAGGAACACCAGUGGCGAAGGCGGUCUGCUGGACAGCAACUGACGCUGAGGCGCGAAAGCAUGGGGAGCAAACAGGAUUAGAUACCCCUGUAGUC
rnacentral:rRNA from 1 species